AGUUUUACUUUAUGGUGGUGAUCAUGAUCUGGUUGUUCCACAUAUAUGAACCGAAUAUUGGUUAACUGAACUCGAUAUAACUUUGGAUGAAGAUUGGCGACCGUGGUAUGUUGGUGGUCAAGUUGCAGGGUACACAAUGAAGUAUUCAAAUUAUGGAUAUCGACUUACUUAUGCCACUUCAAAAGGAUCAGGUCACUCUCCUACUGAGUGGAAAGGUAGAGAAAGUUAUGAGAUGUUUGAAAGGUGGAUCCACUUUUAUCCACUUUAGUUGGCUUCUUUACUUUCAAGAUUUUCCAUUAAUGAUCAUACUCUGCAAUGAGACUUUUUCUAUUUAUUAUUGUUUUGCAAAACAUUAUGUUUCUGUAGUUGUGAUUGCACAAUUUGAAUAUUGUUAGUAAUAAAGAGGUCGGUUGACCGAAUUUUAUUA